GCCUGUAGCUACACUGCUUCAGGCUGUGAUCUUGUUUGCUUUCACAAGAUAAGUAGGGUCAGGCAGGGUCAGCACUUGGAUUGGUAACUGUAAGGAAAGUCAGUAGCUGCAGAAA
rnacentral:rRNA from 1 species